GUGACACGUCCAAUUAUCGCGAUGGCAAAUAAAUUCGAUUUGAAAUCGUUUGCUUUCCAGUUAACACGCCUGGAAAUAUUUUCUUUGCACUUUACUCAACGCCAUCUAGCAUGAGUCAAUGUACUCUUUUGAUUUUAAUAGUGAAUUCUGCGUGAACGGAAUAAUAUUGAAUGAACAAUCACCGAUUAUUGAAAAUUCGGCUAAUUUAUAUCGAAGAAUGAAGAUAAAGGACAGAUACAAAGAGAAGCUUCGAGAAAAAUGAAUUUAGCAAUUCUUUUUGUUCGAAAUGUGAAAUCAAUGUGACUUUUACAAUUAUUCGCAUGAUUGCAAUCGUUUUCUACAAAGAACAGAAAGAGAAGAAAGAACACGUUCGUCAAUUGGUAAAGAGGGAAUCAUUCGCAAGCAGAAAUUUUCCAUUGGCUGAAGACCAACAAUGUCAAUGGCUUUUCCAGACAACGAUGCGUUGGAGGAAAAUUUUAUUCGCGGAGAAAUCUUGGAGACUUGUGCAAUACAGGAUGGCAAUUAGAGAAUCAAACGUCCUGCAUCUUCAACGAAUAAUUGCUACGCGUGCACAGAAUCAUUAUCCUGGAACUGGUUUCUGCUGACACGUCUGCUUUUCAGUUAGAGCAAGUGACAUGUACAGACUUGACUAGAUGGAAUUUAUUUAGAAAGUACAAUUAGUUAACCUUAUAAAUUCUAAUUUAAUUUGAAGAAAUCUUUCAUAUGGAACUGAUUUAAUUUUGUGCUUUCUUCUACAUAAAUAUAAUACCAAUUUAAAUACCAAUUUAAAAUAAUAUAUAUAUCCAUAUUAUUAUGCUUAUUGAGAAAAAAUUUUUUUAUUUUAAGACUUAUACCAUAAAUUAAUAAUUAAAUAGGUUAUAAUUUUCGAUUUUUAUAAACCUUAAAAAAAAUAUCAACUUACCUCCAAGUGAGAUUCCGAUGUGGCCAUUGUUGCCCAUGGAUCGUGUACCGUUUAUGCCUGACCCUAGUAUAUCUAGGAUCUACUUUAUCCGGAAGUCCGCACCGCGGAAGCCUCAUUAAUUUCAUAGUAGCUUCGUCGAUAUCACCAGUUACAGGAAUGCCACCGAAUCUCUAAUGCAAAAAAUAAUAUAGGAUAAAAUAAAAUUAUUUUUAUUUUCUAAAUGUAACAUGUCAAUGUUUACAAUAUAAUCAUAUUUUGUGAAACAUUUAUAGAAACUAAAAAUAUUUAAGUAAGUUUUAAUAAUGUCAAUAACAAUUAUUUAAAAAGGUGCAUAUUGAAUAGGGUGCAUUAAAAAAAAUAGGUUAAUAUUCAUUAGAAUUAAAAUGAUAAAUUAUAAAUAUUUUUUUCAUUUUAACACAAAAUAUUUAUUUUUAAAAGGAAGUAUUAAAUAUAUAUAUGUUUUAAACAA